UACAUGGGGUGCAAACGUUGCUCGGAAUCAUUGGGCGUAAAGGGCUCGUAGGCGGUUCGUCACGUCGGGAGUGAAAACUCGGAGCUUAACUCCGAGCCUGCUUCCGAUACGGGCAGACUAGAGGUAGGCAGGGGAGAGCGGAACUCCUGGUGUAGCGGUGGAAUGCGCAGAUAUCAGGAAGAACACCGGUGGCGAAGGCGGCUCUCUGGGCCUUACCUGACGCUGAGGAGCGAAAGCGUGGGUAGCGAACAGG
rnacentral:rRNA from 1 species